UGAACGCUAGCGGCAGGCUUAACACAUGCAAGUCGAGGGGCAGCAUGUCCAGCAAUGGAUGAUGGCGACCGGCGGAAGGGUGCGUAACGCGUGAGCAACAUGCCCUAUACAGGGAGAUACACCAGGGAAACUUGGUCUAAUAUCCCAUAGCAUUCAUUGAAGGCAUCUUUAAUGAAUUAAAGCUUCGGUGGUAUAGGAUUGGCUCGCGUGACAUUAGCCAGAUGGUGAGGUAACGGCUCACCAUAGCAAUGAUGUCUAGGGGUUUUGAGAGGAAGGCCCCCCACACUGGGACUGAGACACGGCCCAGACUCCUACGGGAGGCAGCAGUGAGGAAUAUUGGACAAUGGAUGGAAAUCUGAUCCAGCCAUGCCGCGUGCAGGAAGACGGCCUUAUGGGUUGUAAACUGCUUUUAUACGGGAGCAAUAAGGGUUACGAGUAAUCCGAUGAGAGUACUGUAUGAAUAAGGAUCGGCUAACUCCGUGCCAGCAGCCGCGGUAAUACGGAGGAUCCGAGCGUUAUCCGGAAUUAUUGGGUUUAAAGGGUGCGUAGGCGGCCAUUUAAGUCAGCGGUGAAAUUUUGCAGCUUAACUGUAACAGUGCCGUUGAUACUGUUUGGCCAGGAUUUGGUUGUAGUGUGCGGAAUGUGUGGUGUAGCGGUGAAAUGCUUAGAUAUCACACAGAACACCGAUUGCGAAGGCAGCACACUAAGUCAUUAUUGACGCUGAGGCACGAAAGUGUGGGGAUCAAACAGGAUUAGAUACCCUGGUAGUCCACACUGUAAACGAUGAUAACUCGCUGUCGGCGAUACACAGUCGGGGCCAAGCGAAAGC
rnacentral:rRNA from 1 species